UGCGGGUUGAUGUAAUAGUUAACAUAUUUGGCUCAUGCCCAAAAAUUAAAGGUGCGAAUCCUUUACCCGCAU
rfam:Diaporthe ampelina DA_912_scaffold_v01_29, whole genome shotgun sequence.